rnacentral:lncRNA from 1 species
UAUCAUGGCAUAAGAGGUCUCAAGUAGCAGAUUGCAAGGUAGCUAUAUAGUGUAGUGGUGUCAUGGUAGGAUAAUCACACAAAGAGUGUGCAAGUGAGUCUUGUAUCUAAUUAAGUAGUGAAUAAAUGUUUGAGUUUCCUUGUAGAGAGUUGGUCUCCCGCAUUGGUGUCAGUGCGAAGGUCUUCUCGAAGUAGUGUGGGUAAGGGUCUAAAAAAAUGUGGUAGCACGCUACUUUGGUGCCACUUCUAGGAAGUCGGUGUUAAGUUCGAGGUGCCGAUUUCUCAACAUAGUACUAACCUAAAAGGUAACUGUGGUGCGUAUCUGGUUCUUACCUACGACUUAGAUAAAAAAAAUUAAUUGUUAUCUGGUUGCACACUAACUAAGGUGUAAGCGUAACACAAAUAGUUGAAGAAAGGUGAGUCCCAAGAAGUACGACUAACCAGAAAGUUGAGGCGAACGAGGACACGUGCCCCACUAAAUUUCAAUUCGUUAUUUGAUCUCACUUAUAGAACUUGCUCUAAAACCAAACACAUGUUAAAUAAAUUUGCUUGAGAGCGUUGUGACAAGUAGAAGCCAAUGAGAAAAGAAGACAAGAUCUUGGCCGUUGCAUCACGAUUCAGUGUAUUGCAUGAAAUACCAAAUGUGACACAAAUGAGGCUAAAAAUAGGAUGGCUAGCUAGCUGAAAAAUAGGAUUAUCUUUAUGAUUUGACACUCGUAUCACAAUAAUAAUAUGUGAGAUUACUUUGGAUCAGGAUGUCAAAUUCUAAAAAGCUCGCAACCCAAACUGAUUUUUUGCCACAAUUUGUAAACAUCUAUAUAUCCGGG